UACGUAGGUGGCAAGCGUUGUUCGGAAUUAUUGGGCGUAAAGGGCGCGUAGGCGGUCUUGUAAGUCAGCUGUGAAAGCCCGGGGCUCAACCCCGGAGGGUCGGCUGAUACUGCAGGACUGGAGUACGGAAGAGGUAGCUGGAAUUCCCGGUGUAGCGGUGAAAUGCGUAGAGAUCCGGAGGAACACCAGAGGCGAAGGCGGCCUGCUGGGCUGCACCUGACGCUGAGCCGCGAAAGCCAGGGGAGCGAACGGG
rnacentral:rRNA from 1 species